UACGUAGGGUGCAAGCGUUAAUCGGAAUUACUGGGCGUAAAGCGUGCGCAGGCGGCUUUGCAAGACAGAUGUGAAAUCCCCGGGCUUAACCUGGGAACUGCAUUUGUGACUGCAUGGCUAGAGUGCGGCAGAGGGGGAUGGAAUUCCGCGUGUAGCAGUGAAAUGCGUAGAGAUGUGGAGGAACACCGAUGGCGAAGGCAGCCCCCUGGGCUAACACUGACGCUCAUGCACGAAAGCGUGGGGAGCAAACAGG
rnacentral:rRNA from 1 species